GGUAACCUAUUUAAUCUGGAAGCGACGGUCUCUUCGGUCCUUUCACCGUGCCCUCUUAAAGGAGAUCGGAGGAAUGGAGAGUCAAACCCUCUGCGGCUCGACUGUCUUCUUCACCAACAUGACUUCUGUCCAUAUGCUGUUUGAUGGACACCUGCACAAGCCAGAUGGAGGAUGAUGACUGCGUUUGUGUAUGAGCAGAACGCCCGAGUGAAGAUGGUGGCAGCUGUAACACCAGUCUGUUCGCAACAUGACAUGAGAAAGAAGCACAAACAGGAGAGACUUAUCUGCAUCGUGUCAUGGAAAAAAUUCCUGACGUUCAAGUUUGUGGAUGUGAAAACAGACUGAUGAAUUCACAGAAGCUGUUCCAGUCAACCAAGUGUUGGUCAGGAGAGAUACUUAAACUGGUAAUGACCAAGAGACUGGACCUGUGGAGCCCCCCUUCAUCUCCUCCCCCUGAUGCUAAAGUUGCUCUUAAAUGCUUCUUUUUGUCAUUAAAUACCAGUUUUUCCAUCUGCCAGCAAGAUUUCUUCUACACAAUACAUCCGAGCAGGAUGAAUGUACAUGAAAUGUGUCAAAUUGACAUCCUUUGCCUUUUUGAAAAAAUAAAUAUCAAUCUCAGAA